UACAGAGGGGGCUAGCGUUGCUCGGAAUUACUGGGCGUAAAGGGAGCGUAGGCGGGUUAUCAAGUUGGGGGUGAAAGCCCGGGGCUCAACCUCGGAAUUGCCUUCAAAACUGAUAACCUGGAGUAUGGAAGAGGUAAGUGGAACUCCGAGUGUAGAGGUGAAAUUCGUAGAUAUUCGGAAGAACACCAGUGGCGAAGGCGACUUACUGGUCCAUUACUGACGCUGAGGCUCGAAAGCGUGGGGAGCAAACAGG
rnacentral:rRNA from 1 species